GCAGUUUAAUGGGUCUCCUUUAACAUUAAAGCAUGAAAACAUUUUCUAGUAGACAAGUAGACUCUACAAGUAUGAUCCUGAACAUGAGGAUUCUACGGCCCCUUUAAACUUAAAGUCUUAUGUUGAUCACUUGCAGUAGACCCUGGUUCCAACAGGAAGUAGCCAUGUACUAUAGGACCAAACCCGGCUUCACUGCUCUCCAGUAACUAUACUGUCUAUGGGGUCCAGCAAAACCUGACCGCUACAAACAGUCUCCUGUAUCCUCAGCUCACCAACGAGGCCGGUCUCUGAGCUGGUCUGUGUUUCUCGCGGUUUGUAGGACGCAGCCUGCGGUGCUGAUGCUGCGGGUUUCCCCGGGAAACAUGUGAGCAUCUCUGAAAAAGUGAGAUCUGUAGAGCCAGAUCAGAGCCAGAUCCUCCUGAUGGGUCCAGUGUUUACCUCAGCGACUGUGAAACAAUCCUGGACUCUUUCCUGCCCCCCUCCAGGGAAGCUGUGACACCUUCAUGUACCUGAAAUCCAGCUGAACUGGUCCAGAUCAGAUCUGAUGGUUGCAGUUGCAUAACACACAGUUACUGACUGUGAUUUUUAUACCAGAAUAAAAGAAGAACCAGAGCGAGAACAAGUCCUGUGUGGUCGUGCCGUCCUUCCACACCGUCGACACAAAAGUGACACACUCACCGAGCAGUGUCACGUCACUACAUGAAAACUACAUGAACGAGGCCUUUAUGUCCCCUUCCAAUUACUCAUUUGAGGGUAAUAUUAAGAAACGGCUCAUUGAUAACGAACACUGAUGCUGAUUUUAUCCACCUUUUCAUCUACAUGUAUCAUCUACUUUUUUUUGAUUUUAUCUGCUCAUGUUGUUAAACUGUACUGUAUAUGUGUUUUAACACUAUUUAACUAUUGUAAACU